UUCUGAAUUUACUGGGUUCUGGGUGUUUCAUUUACUUCCUCAGCCUGGUCAACGUCAUUAUUCCCUUCCAGGAUCUUAGAAGUCUUUCUUCUCUCUCUACGAUGAAAAGUUUGAAUGAGAUAUAGAAAACACAACAGUGGAAGACAUUGCUGCUUGCAAAACAAAAGGAUGGAUUCUAAACGCCUGGCAUUUUUACACUGAGAUAACUUAAGUCCUUUGUAUACCUCAGGGCUUCCUGAAAAAAAAAAUAACUAGAGGAGAAAAGAUAUGAACUGUAUAACAAAGGAAUGGGGACACGAAAUGAUCUCAGGAACUACACAGCACAGAAUGUUCUAGAAUCAAAAGCCUCAUUUAUAAAGAUAGGACAAAUCAUUUUAAGUUCUAACAUCAUAUCCUGUGCUGGCACAUGGAAACAAAAAAUGCUACAAUAUACACCACAUCUAGCUACAAGGGAUUUUGAGGAGUAUGGUUCCGAGUUGCAAGAUUUUGCAAAAUAGUAAAUUGCAUUUGGCAGGAGUAAAAGCAAAAGGUGACCAAGUCAAAUUGCAUGCUUGAUCUACAGGAAUACAGGCAAGUUAACACUUACUAAAAUGCAUU
rnacentral:lncRNA from 1 species